AGAAGGCGCUUCUGAAAGGCUUUCACCCUCAGCCUCUGCUCUUCCCUCCGGUCGGCCCCAAGUAGGGGGACUGAGGCACAGAACUGUUCUCUAGCUCUGGCUGCAAGGCGACACUGUUCCUGUGUCCUCCGAGGCCACCGCCCCUCCCUGCCGCCAGUGUCAUCUGACAAGGAGCUGUCUGGGGGAAACAUCAAGACAGGAAGUUUGCAUUUGGGUGGUGGACCAUGGGAAGGCAGAGGUAGGUGAUCCUGUUUCCCCGGGGUCAUUCUAGGACCCUCCAGGACAAGCCCAGUCCCUGUGAGCCUCUGAGUGGUUGGGGAAUGAGUAGGUCUGUGGUUUGGAGUGGGGUUGACAAUCUUCUGGUGCCUCAGUUUCCCUACCAGGCUGCUUUACGUUUAUCUUAGGAUCAUCACGGCUAUAGGAGAGCCUGGCCACAGGGCUCCAGGGUGAAACACUGCCUGGGAGGGCGGCCGUGGUGGCUGGGCCUGCUGAAGGCGGCCUGGCCGUUACUCACCAGGCCUGAUGGGCUUUUAUGCUCCCAGUGGUGACAUUUUUGCUGCGAUUGCUAAAAGAAAGUAGCCUGCCUCCCUGGUCAUUUUUUACCUUUUCCUCAUAAAUGAAAAGGCAGGACAUGUGCCAGGAGGACUGCAGCUGGGACAUCACUUCCACCGGGCCCCAGAGCUCCGGGUAGAUGAGAGAUGGGGUCUGGGGUGCUUCCAACCCGCCUCCACCCUCUCGUGUAUACUCUUGUCCUGUCCCAAGCCCAGUGCCAGCCCCUUCCUGCCAAGGUCCUCUCCAUCUGGCUUCCUUCACUACCGCCUUCCUUCCCUCUCCCUGUGAGGUCCCCUCCCCAAUUCCCGGGCCUCUCCCCAUUUUGCAGAUGAACAGACAGAGACCCAGGCAGAUGGAGGAGCCACCUCACUCCUCUUUCUGAGCGGCAUGGCUCCAGGACCUGGCUCCUAACAGGGACACCCCAGUUUCCUAGUGUGCCCUCACCCCGGCCAGACCAAAGCCCGACUCUGGACCAGUGGCACUGGGACCCGAUUAGGAAGGCAGAAUCAGGGUUCAUGCAGGUGGAAUCUGACUGGACACUUUAUCGACACCCCAGAGUGCAGAUUGCUGACAGCCACAAAGCUGUGUGCCGUGAGACAAGGGUCUGGUCCCCUGCCCAGGGAUGGUGGACCUCUGGUGAAGACGGAAGCGGGCAGAACCGGGGGCCUUGCAGCUGUCCCCUGCGUUUCCCACCCUUUAACCCUGGCGCCCUGUGGCCAAGCUCACCUGUAUCCAUGAUAAUCCUAAGAUGAACGUACAGCAGCUUGGCAGGGAAACUGAGGCACCGGAAGAUUCUCAACCCCACUCCUAUACCUUCCCCUUGGAAGCCACCUACUACAUCGCAGAAAGCCCAAGGCCCUGAGGGGGCCGCAUGCACAGGGCCGAGCCAGCUGCAGGGUGACCCAUGCUGCAGGUGGCUGUACCCCCUCCAGGGAGGCCCCCAAUGUCCUGUGGAAUCGAAAGGAGCCCCAUGCCUGGGUCCUGUCCAGAUCUGCAGAUUCAUGAGCCAAAGAGAGAACUGUUCAUUUUACGGUCCCAAGGACUGGGCAGGGCUUGUCACGAAGCAGCAGCUGAUCCCUGAGACACGUGCUGGCCACUGCCUGUGAGCGGAUCUCCGUGCUCCAUCUGGUAAACAGAACCUCGCUCCCAGCACCACUGCCUCCACCUCUUCCUGCUCUGCCUUGCUGCCUGUCCCGCUGAACCAACCCUCAGACCGAACCUGCCAACCUGCUGCCUAUUCACUCAGUGUGGGGGCCGGACUCCCUCCUGUGGCCCAGAAAGCCCCUGAACGGGCUGCUCACCUCCCUGCCCUUCCCCCUCCCCCGGCGCCCGCCCUGCCCUUCCUGUAAGCGGUGGCCGCCCCAAGUCCACCUCUCCCCAGGGCUUUUGCACUUGCUGCUAACAGCACAGAGCCCGCAGACACCUCCCGCUGCACCGGGCCUGCUCCACCCUCCCUGUGCUCCGUGAAGCAGUGUUUCCAGCCCUCCCAUCCUUCUCCGGCUGCGUUUUCUCUGUGGCUCCCAGCAUUGCUGUCAUUCCAUGCUUGACCCUAACCAGAGCCCGGAAGUGACACCUCUGUCACUCUACCACGCCAGAAGGCUUCUCAGCUCUGCCUGCUUCAGCGCAGGCCCAGAAUGCUCUGGAGGCCCAAAAGGUGGUGUGGCCACCGGGCUGAGGUCUUCUGCGCCCUGGAGGUAAGGUCUGCCCCAGUCUCCAAAAAUAGCGGGAGCAGGCUCUGCCCUGCCUCUGCCUGUGCGAGGACAGGGCGGGGGCAGGGCAGACUCAGAGCCCAGCCGGGAAGGCAGAGGCAGGGGUGUGUGGCGAGUGGUUUGGCCUUGGCGCAUGCGUACAAAAAUACUGCUGAGUUUGGAAGAAUCUGGCACAUGGUUACCCCAAGGGAAAACGCUGCCGAUUAAACCUGCUGUGCUCUGGGCUGCCAGGCAGGCCGCACACAGGACUGGGGAGCAGACACAGGCGUCCAUGCUGUGCUGUGGCUUACACCUUCCCGGCCGAGGAAAUGCAAGGUUUUCUUCGGAUCCAGAGGCCUUGGGCCCCUGCUCUUGGCAGGGCAGGGUGACAGUAGAUGGUGAUGGUGACAGUGUCACAGAGGUAAGCAGGAGGGUAUCCUGUGACAGACACAGAAAGCAAUCUGUGCCCAGGGAGCCUGCUGAGUAACAAAGCCACCAGCCCACCCACUGUUGUCAGCUCGGAGUGAGACAGGUGACCUGGGUCCCGCUGUCUGACUCAUGGUGCAUCAACAGGUGGGGCCUGUCCAGACCCCGACCUGGUGACUCAGUUCCCUGGGCUCGGAGUCCGUCCCAGGUCCAGGUGGAGGGUGGGGGGGGGCUCAUGCCCUGAUUUUCUGGGGAGCAAGAGGAAAGACCCCAAACCUGGAGUUGCAGAGAUCCGUCCAAAAUGAGGUGGUAUGGGCAGAUGGGUGAGGAGCGGGGCCCAGGAAUACCCAAGAGAGGCAGGUUCAACCAUGCUAGGAGGGCCUUGGGGGAGACCUGCUUUGGAAGGCACUGGGGAGACCACAGUGGACCCCAAAUUCCCUCCUCAGGAUGCAGAUCGUUCUCCAGCUGUGGGGACACUGCAGCUGACAGCUAGCUCCAAUCCGAACCCCUCCUCCCUGUAGAUGGUCUUGGCUGAAAUCACCUCCUCUUUCAAGGUCUCCCGUUGUCUUGGUCUGGAGUUGGGGCCUGAAGAGAUGUGCUCUGUUCCCAGCUCCUUGCCCUCUCUCUGGCUUUUUCCAGUUCUCUCCACUUCCUGGCUGCCAUGAGGUAAACGGCUUUCCUAGGUAUUUGACGUAGUGAUAAAAUCUAACACACCUGCUCUCUGGAGCAGCUGGCAUCCAUGACCAGUAGAUGCAUGAGGGUAGAGGAUGGUCCCCUGUCCCCAGGUAGGACAGCCUGUAGGGGCCAUCUCUGGGCACAGUCUCCCCACCCUUGGGUGGCCACAGGGCUGUGGCUGCUUUCCUGCUCAGCUUCUCCCUCUGCCCCACGUUCCUCCUUCACCCACAGGGGCUGUGCCCAGGAGUUUUCCCCAGAAGCCCUGCACACCGAUCUCCAGCUCAGGGUCCACUUUGCAGGAACCUGCCUUGCCCUGGAGGCCAACUACAAAACAAGGGAGCAAGUGGCUGCUGGGAUACCAGUAGAGUCCUGCUCCACCCCCUGGAGAGUCCUCCCCCUCCUGUGGGUACCCUGGACUCAAGGGGCUCGCCUAGGAGUAUCCUCUGGCAGCUGGACUGUGCCAAGGGCAGGGGCACAGGUGCAGCACAGGCAGGGGCUCAGGAACUUUCAACAGAUGACUCAGCCACCAGAGGCCAGCACACCCUAACCCCUGACCCCUAACCCCUGCCCACAUGCAGAUUCCAGCCUAUUUGAGCACCAUGUAAAGCACAGGCCCCGUGUGCCUGUGUAGCCUGUGUAUGAUUGUGUGGACACAAAUGCAUGUGCCCACGUACACGUUUGUGCGUGGAAGGAGGAGACAGCUCCUGCUUCUCAUCCCAGCGCUUAGGCCUGGGAUUCUGGGGAUGCAUGGAUUAGUUCGUGCUUGCAGGUGUGAGUGUGUAUGUACAGGGCUGUAGCACAUUUAGAAGUGUGCCCGUAUGUGUCCACUCGCCGAGGAUGCCCAGGCUCUGCAGCACGACUCCCCUAAGCUGUCUGGAGGUGCCCCCUUCUGCUCAGCCUCCUCAGGAAGCCCUUCCAGGGGAAGCUGAUGCCAGCUCCCUGCCACCCUUCUUGUUCUUGCCAAAACAUGGAAUUAAUUUCUUUUGCUGUCCAAAUCAGAACUCAUAGGCCUGGUUACUACAGUUUCCGGUGCCUUCACAUGGCAUCCCCUCAUCGCCUGGGGAGGUCCCCAAGCACAGAAGCCGCCUCUUCCGUCAGCCCAGGAUCUCCCUGAAGAUGGAGGUGGAGCCUCUAAUUUUCUUGCCCAUACAUGCAGAUGAGGAGAGCGGAGAGCCAAGGACACGCUCCCAGCUCAGGCUCAGACCCUUUCCAGGGGCUGGGUGUCCAGGGCCUCGGGUUCUGAGCUUGUUUUUGAGAGGGGCUUGGAGAAACUGGUGCUGUCUGUGGCCCCGGGGCUCCUCUGUAACGUGAGGGGCCACAGAAGGCCCUGGGGCUCCCGCCUGCCCUGCCCUGUGCUCAGCUCCGCUCCCUAGGUCCCCUGUACCCACUCCCUGGUUCCCUGUGACUAUGGCCCACCUGCCCAUCCCCAUUUCAAGCUGGCCGCUGACCUGGCCACGUGGCAGGAAUGAGGAGGUCAGCAGGCCGCCUGUCCUGGGUUAUUACAUUGAAUAAGCCGACAAAAGCCAUCAGAAGAUACAUCGUUUAAUAGGAGAUUAAAAACCAACAAGAGCGGCCAGGGUUUUGACCUGGACUCCUGCGUUUUUAAUUUAAUUUCUUUUGCAGCUCAGAUCAGAACAUUGUAAAACGACAAAAGUAGCUGUGUUUGCUCAAGGGUUUUAGCACUAAUUGAUUUGGCUGGAGUUGUCCCUUAAGCCGCCUCUUCUCAGCCUUCUGAGCCUGUGUGGGAAGAGGAGGAGGUGGAGUGGGGAGCUGCCAGCCCCUCCCACAGGUCAGCAGGCCCCCUGCCCCUGCCCCUGCCCCUGCUCCUGCUGUGAGCUGGCGCACACCUGUGAUCCCAGCAUGCUGGGAGGCCCACGUGAGCCACUGAGUGCCUUAAUGAGGCCCCAUUCCAACAUAAAAGAUACACAAGGGCAAGGGUUGCAGACCAGUGUGGAGGCUGUGGAAGCAACUCUCCUUUAACCCCCCAAAGUAGGAUUAGGUACAAAAUAAAAGAAGGUAGGAGCUAGAAUGUGGGGGGCGACCCUCCUGGCCGGGCAGGUUUCUGGCCAGGCCACGCCUCCACAGCGCCUGGUCUUUGCAGCCCUGCAGGUCAGAGCUGCAGAGCCUUGGGCCGAGUGGGAGGCCUGCUUGCCACGACCCCUCCCUAGGCCCCGGUGGCUCUGGGGUCCUCGUGCCUACACGGGGACAAGUAGGACAGAGCGGCUCUCCUCGAGCUUCGGUUGGAAAUCCCAGGUGCCUCGUGGACUUUUUGUUGCUGCUAACCAGACGCUGCACAACGGGUGGGACACGGAAAGGUGAUAUGCUCACGGAUCUGCUCCAGGGUCAAAGGGCCACGGGUGCUGAUGGCUUCUGUAUGCUGACUGUCCUCACGCGGGCUGUUUUCUCAGAGGUGGCACAGGCAUCCCGUGGCAAGGGCCCGGUGCGUGUGAUCAUGCGAGUGCAUGCACGUGUGUGUGUCCUGGUCUCUCCCUUUUUACAAAGUCCCAGCAUUUAGUCACAGGUGCUCCACCCUAACGACCUGGUCUAAUCCCUGCCACCUUCUGGAGACCCCGCCCGGAACACAUAAUCCAUUCAGUUUUCUCCCCCAAAACUGCUCACCGUGUAGAUAAAACUCCAACAGGCUUUCAGCACCCACAAACUAGAGUCUGACCGGAGCCAGAGAAGGACUCUGAUUGGCCUUUCUUGGGUCACGUGCCUGAGCCCGGCCCAAUCGCUGCUGCCUGCGAGGCGGGAUCUCUGCCCAGAGCUGCUGGCUGCGGGCGAACAGAGGGUGAGGGUGUUUGGCAGGGUGCUGCCCGGUGUUUCCAGACCAAGAGGACAGGCCGCCUCCCAAACGGUGCCCUCCGUCACUGCAAAGAAGAAACUAAAAGCUCUUAUGACACAGUUGAAGCCCGUCUUGGUGGUGCCUGCCUACAAGGCUGAGGCAGGAUGUCAUUUGGGUUGUUUUAAAAUAACAAACUAGCCAAAGGACUGGGGGUGUAGCUGAGUGCAGAGCCCUAGCGUUUUAAUGCCCUUGUGACAAAACAAAACACCCUAAAAAGCAAAACAAGCCCCAAACCCCAGAGCUGACACAUCCUACCUGCUGGAAAAGUGUCCAGGGGACGUGGAGGACGCAGAGCCCCCUCCCACCCCUGCCAUUAGGGCCAGCAACACCCCAUGAAGAGGAGACACAGCUGCUGCUCCCCCUGUGCAAGUCCCUAGGGAUGGACUCAGCCCUGUCCUAGAAAGACAGUGAGAAGCGUGGCGUCUUUUUAUUUUUUAUUUUUAUUUUUGGUACCGCAGAUCGAACUCACGACCUCCUGCUUGUCAGGCAGGUGCUUGUGCCCCUGAGCUAAAUCCCCGCCCCCCAAGUGUGGCAUCUUCAAGUCCAAAAA